GGCAUAGUGGUGAGAAUAUGUCUCUUAUCCUCAGUUCAUGCCUAUUGAAAUGGUUUAUAGAGAAGAAAAUGUUUUCUUUUAACCUUGGACAAUGCUUCUGCAAAUGAAGUUGUUGUGAAAGAGAUUAUUCUAGAGCUCAAUAAGCACAAUCCUUUAAUCUGCGAUGGUUUGUUCUUUCAUAUUGGAUGUGCCAAUCAUAUUUUGAACUUGGUUGCAAAAGAUGGUAUGAGUGUGAUGGCAUCAUCUAUUAAGAACAUUAGAGCAUUUGUGCUAGCUGUUAAGGGGUCUCCAUUGCAAUGGGAGGAGUUUCAGAAAUGUGCUACUGAAUGUGGUGUGGACACAAAGGUUGGUCUCUCUCUUGAUGUUGCUACUAGGUGGAAUUCAACAUAUUGCAUGUUGAGGGAUGCACUACAUUAUAGGGCUGCUUUUGAACGGCUUGUGUCAUAUGAACGUCGCAGGUAUGAGAAAAUUGCACCUUCCUUUGAAGAAUGGGAUUUGGCAAAGACUCUUUUACCAUGUUUGAGAAAGUUCUUUGACUUGACUGAGUUAUUUUCCGGUACAUUAUAUCGCACUGCCAACUUGUUUUUUAAAGGGUUUUGUGAGAUUAAGUUUUUACUUGUUGAUUGGUGUGAUAGCAUCAAUCCCACUAUUAGUAACAUGGCAAACACUAUGAUGGUCAAGUUUGACAAGUACUGGAAUAAGUCAAAUAUUGCUCUUUCUGUGGCUAGUGUCCUUGAUCCUAGAUACAAGAGGACAAUUGUAGAAUUUUACUUGAAGAAGGUGUACCUAUAUACCUAUCAAACUGAGCUAGAUAAAUUUAAUGGUGUCAUGAAAAAGAUGUAUCAAUGCUAUGCCUCUACUACACCCUCAACAUCAUCUGUUGCACCUUACCCAACUUCAAUGGGUGACAUGAUUAAGUCAAGUAUCGAUGAAGAGCUUGAUAGCUACAUAUUUGAUGGACAAGGCCAUGAUGAUUCUAUUGACACAAGUGACUUAGAAAAAUAUUUGACAGAUCCAAUAUUAAAGAUUGGUAAAAAUAAUCAGCAUACUUUUGACAUACUAGCCUGGUGGAAAGCACACAAAGAAUAAUAUCCUAUCUUGGGCCAGCUUGCUCGUGACGUCUUAGCUAUGCAAGUGUCAACAGUAGCUUCAGAAUCUGCUUUUAGUGCGGGUGGUCGUGUACUUGAUCCAUUUUGUACUCGCCUUGACCCUACCAUGGUAGAAGCGCUUGUCUGCACCAAAGAAAAGGUUGUAUAACAGUAACUUAUAUUUAUUUACAAUCUAUUUAGUCAUUACCUUUUUACUAAUGCACUAAUUGAUCUUUAUAUUUCUAGGUUCCAAGGCUAAGAGUGUUGCUAUUCCUAAUAUGGUUUGUAAAAUGGAGGAACUUGAGGCUCUUGCUAGAAAUCUUUCACUUGAGGUUACUUUACCUUCAUGUUCUAUUCUAUUUUGCAUAAAACAUUAGCUAUGAUUUAACUAUAUAUUCCUUUAACAAAAUGUAGGAUGAAGACCUAGAUGAUGAUCAUGAUGAUGGACCAGAGGCAUCGUUGUAAGCUUGUUGAUGAAGACCUAGAUGAUGAUAAUGCAAUAUGAAUGCUCCAAAUGUUUUUUAUUGUACUUGUUGCGUAAUGCUUUGUGAUCUUGCGAACUUGGGACUUGUGGACUU
rnacentral:lncRNA from 1 species